CUACUACUACUGCUACUACAGCUGCUACUGAAUAUCACUAUAUAAAUAGCCAAUAAAUAGAAAGAUAUUGGAUAAUGGAUUCAUUUUACCAUCCAUGUAGGCUUUAUUACAGUUUUCUUCCGCUCUGUGAUACUUGCACUAUAUACAGACAUAAUGGUAACUGAUGCUAAUGUUACACUAUUACUGUAUAGUCAUCAUUGUGUUCUCUAUACAACAGGUUCUACCUUCAGACCAAAGUCCUCUGGGGAAAGAGUUCUUUAAAAAAAACAAUCCGGUUUUUGAGCAUUUAGCUACUUACCGUGAUGUAUCGGGUCAGUGUGAGCUUUCUGCAGGGGAAUAUGUCAUUGUGGCAGCAACCUAUUCUGAGUCUCAAGAAGUUGAUUUUCACCUCCGUAUUUUUACUGAAAAAUGAGACAGAGCAUGUGGCGAACCACACUAUUGGCCUGAGGAUAGAUCCACAGAUACAAUGCUAAGAAAGGAAAGAUGCUUGGCCUCAUCCUUUAAUCAGCACAUUCUCAGCAGAUUCCUAUUAUAUCGCUUAUAUGCAUAAAUGUUGAUUAUUUCAAUACAAUUUGCUCUGAAAUGCAGAAUCUCCUCUUGUGUGAACUGAAUGUCUCGACAUAAUUUGGGGUCGGAUAGCUUUGUA